AUUGAACGCUGGCGGCAUGCCUUACACAUGCAAGUCGAACGGCAGCACGGGCAACCUGGUGGCGAGUGGCGAACGGGUGAGUAAUGCAUCGGAACGUACCCUUCAGUGGGGGAUAACGUAGCGAAAGUUACGCUAAUACCGCAUAUUCUGUGAGCAGGAAAGCAGGGGAUCGCAAGACCUUGCGCUGAUUGAGCGGCCGAUGUCAGAUUAGCUAGUUGGUGAGGUAAAGGCUCACCAAGGCGACGAUCUGUAGCGGGUCUGAGAGGAUGAUCCGCCACACUGGAACAGAGACACGGUCCAGACUCCUACGGGAGGCAGCAGUGGGGAAUUUUGGACAAUGGGGGCAACCCUGAUCCAGCCAUGCCGCGUGAGUGAAGAAGGCCUUCGGGUUGUAAAGCUCUUUCGGCCGGGAAGAAAUCGCACGGGCUAAUACCCUGUGUGGAUGACAGUACCGGAAUAAGAAGCACCGGCUAACUACGUGCCAGCCGCCGCAGUAAAAC
rnacentral:rRNA from 1 species